UAGUUUUCUGCCACACAUUGCGUUUUACAUUUAGGCUAAAAAGUUCAGCUUUUGUCUCAUCUGACACAUGUUUUCUUUCAAAAAUGGCUUCUUCCACCCAUAAAGGCCAGGUUUGUGGAGUCCACGACUAGUAGUUGUCCUGUGGACAGAUUCUCCCACCUGAGCUGUUACAGAGGAGAAGACCUGUAUCUCCUGGUGAGAUCUCUGGUGUAUCGCUCAGUCCAGCGUCU